AGAUUGAAUACAGCAAACACACGGCAUAGGCGGGCUGCCCUCAAGGUCUUCUGGAGCUCUGCAGUAAGAAAAUAAUAAAAAGCAACAACAGAAAAUAGAAGAGCAUUUUUAACUCAGAGUCUCAGGGAAGAAAAUAAUGGAGACAGAUAACUAGCGGAACAGAAGAUGGUUACUGCUGGGCACGGCACUUGCAAAAAGAACACAGAAAAGCAUUGGGACACUGAAGCUGGCCUUUAAGGCAGAGUGGGGAUCACGCCAUGGGGUUUUAGGAAGCCCGGUGGCCAGCGGCAAUUUCUAAAGCUGCCCAAACUCUUUGUUUUCUUGCGAUUAAUGAAGCCGCAUUUUAUCAGACAAUUGCAGGAAAUAAAUACCAAGUUAAGGCA